AUUGAUGGGAGCUUGCUCCCUGAUAUUAGCGGCGGACGGGUGAGUAACACGUGGGUAACCUGCCUGUAAGAUUGGGAUAACUCCGGGAAACCGGAGCUAAUACCGGAUAACAUGUUGAACCGCAUGGUUCAACAUUGAAAGAUGGCUUUUAGCUAUCACUUACAGAUGGACCCGCGGCGCAUUAGCUAGUUGGUGAGGUAACGGCUCACCAAGGCGACGAUGCGUAGCCGACCUGAGAGGGUGAUCGGCCACACUGGGACUGAGACACGGCCCAGACUCCUACGGGAGGCAGCAGUAGGGAAUCUUCCGCAAUGGACGAAAGUCUGACGGAGCAACGCCGCGUGAACGAUGAAGGCCUUCGGGUCGUAAAGUUCUGUUGUUAGGGAAGAACAAGUACCAGAGUAACUGCUGGUACCUUGACGGUACCUAACCAGAAAGCCACGGCUAACUACGUGCCAGCAGCCGCGGUAAUACGUAGGUGGCAAGCGUUGUCCGGAAUUAUUGGGCGUAAAGCGCGCGCAGGUGGUUUCUUAAGUCUGAUGUGAAAGCCCACGGCUCAACCGUGGAGGGUCAUUGGAAACUGGGGAACUUGAGUGCAGAAGAGGAAAGUGGAAUUCCAAGUGUAGCGGUGAAAUGCGUAGAGAUUUGGAGGAACACCAGUGGCGAAGGCGACUUUCUGGUCUGUAACUGACACUGAGGCGCGAAAGCGUGGGGAGCGAACAGGAUUAGAUACCCUGGUAGUCCACGC
rnacentral:rRNA from 1 species